rnacentral:lncRNA from 1 species
AAACAUUUCCUUCACCUUCUCUCCCUAUUUCUCGUUCUAGUUCUUCAUUUCUCCAGCUUUUCCUUGUUCAAAUCUAUGUCACACGGUAUGUUAACAUGAUAUCAGAGCGGGUAUUCUGAUUCUGCUCAUCAUUAGCUCUCUUCCGAUGUUACCCUCGUCGAUUUUCAUCCGAGGUUCUGUGAUAUGGAAAAUCUAGGGUUUCCUUAUUUGCUGGGUUUUCUCAUUCGCUUUUUUUUCUGUUGCGAUCGUCUUUUUUGUUGAGGUUUCUGCUUAGUCGAAUGCAUCGGUUGGAUCAAUUCGAUUUCUAACAGUUUGCAUAUCCACGGAUUGUUAUUUUUUUUUGGAUUCAUCAAACUUCAGACUCGGUAAGUGUUUUCA